rnacentral:rRNA from 1 species
AGAGUUUGAUCCUGGCUCAGAUUGAACGCUGGCGGCAGGCUUAACACAUGCAAGUCGAGCGGUAACAGGGGGUGCUUGCACCCCGCUGACGAGCGGCGGACGGGUGAGUAAUGCUUAGGAAUCUGCCCAGUAGUGGGGGAUAGCCCGGGGAAACCCGGAUUAAUACCGCAUACGUCCUACGGGAGAAAGCAGGGGAUCUUCGGACCUUGCGCUACUGGAUGAGCCUAAGUCGGAUUAGCUAGUUGGUGGGGUAAAGGCCUACCAAGGCGACGAUCCGUAGCUGGUCUGAGAGGAUGAUCAGCCACAUCGGGACUGAGACACGGCCCGAACUCCUACGGGAGGCAGCAGUGGGGAAUAUUGGACAAUGGGGGCAACCCUGAUCCAGCCAUGCCGCGUGUGUGAAGAAGGCUUUCGGGUUGUAAAGCACUUUCAGUGAGGAGGAAGGCUCAAAGGUUAAUACCCUUUGGGAUUGACGUUACUCACAGAAGAAGC